ensembl:lncRNA
AUGAGCUGGCCGGGCCUGUCGGCGCCGGCUGCGCGCGCCGGGGAGGGCGGACGCGUUCACCCGGCUCCUGAGCUCGGCCUCGCGGGGCCGGGGCUUGGGCAGCAGCGUGCCGGGCCAGCGGGGUGGGGUGGGYGCAGCCCUGCGCCCCUCCUCUUUCCGCCGGGUUUCCCAAGGGUGUGCGAUUCCCCGGCUUGUCCCGGCAUCGCUCCAUCUCCCUCCCUCCUUUCCUUGGUUUCUUUGUCUGCCCCACCAUCCGUCGGCGGAGGUAUCCCAACUCCUUCUGCCACGCAAACUCUGCGUCUUCCUUCGCUUUCUGUCUUUUGCCCCUUUUCUGUCUCCUUCGUCUCCCCCCACCGGUUCCCCAGUGUCCUCAGGAAACUGGAGCCAGAUGACAGAUUUCAGGCGUGUUUGCAGGAAAUAAAAGGCGAGGAGCCGGGGGGAUGGCCGGUCCCGACCCCCUCCCGCGCGGCGUUUUCACGUCUGGAGCCAGCCCUGCUUCAACUGCUCCUGCCGCUGGCUGUGCUCCUUGUUUUCUUGGCAGAGAGGAGGAGGAAUGUGUUUCAGUUUGAGUUUCUUGGCAGGAGGAGACCGAGGGAAGAUUCCCCUCAAUCCCGGCUGCGCCUGGCUCUCAAAUUUAUGCCCAUAGGCUGCGACUUGGGUGGGCCGCGGCAGUGUGCGGCAGGCGGGGGAGGCAAGCGCAGCGGUGGGGGAGCCACGGGCUGGUUCCCAUUGGCUCCCCGGCCCCCUCCAGCUCCCCUGCUCGGGGGCCUCCCGGGACUGGGGAGCCCCCGCAGACCCUGCUGGGUCCCCCCCCGCCCCCCACACCGGUGCUCGGCAGGGCGACGUGCGGGAGCUGGGGAGAGCCACCAUGGUCAUCGUGCCCGCCCGGCACCCGCCUGCCUCCGAGCUGCCCCGCUGGCGAGAGCCCGGCCCGUGCCAGGCUGGGUUUAGUGGCCAAACUCCUCCCCGCUUCCUGAGUCCAGGAAGGAGAGGAUGUCUUGGCACAGUGGGACCCUGACCCUCCUGCUGUACCGGGGGGGGACCAGGUGAAGGGCACGGCCCCACCGAACUGCCCCCAGCCCUGCAUGGUGGGUGCUGGAGGGGGGGGGCAGAGGGGACACCCCUUCCAGGCGGUGAGAUGAUGCACCAAGCCUGGCAGGAGGCGUAGGGGGGGGAGUGAUGUGCCUUGUGCUACAUGCCCGUGUGCUCUCUGCACGUGGUGGUGUGCUGUGCACCCGCGUGUGGUCUGUGUGUGCCUCCACAUGUGCCGUGCAUGCCUGUGUGCCCGAGUGUGCUGUGUGCAUGCGUGCUGUGUGCAUGCACUUGCGGUUUGUGUGGUGGUCUUUCUGCAUGUGUGUGCACAUGUGCUCUGUGUGUGUGCGCAUGUGGUGGUGAGCAUGGCAGGGGCUGGUGAGCGUGCCAUGGGCGUAGCACGUGCACAUGGCAGGGUGAACAUGGCCGAGGGUGGCCAUGGUAGAGGGAAUAGCACAAAGGCUAUAAACACAUUAACCCCAUUCCUGGAAGGGGUAGAUGCCCUGCAUGGUGCCCCCGCCUUCUCUGGGACUCAGGGUGGCAUAGGCAGGGUAAGUGAAGCCCUUCUGUGCCCCCAACCCAGACGCUGUACCUGCAAAGAGCAAAGGGGUCCCCUGUGCUUCUGCCUCUUCCCCCCUGCAGGAGGCCCCAGAGAUGCCAGGUGGGACCCACAGUGGUUGUACCCUCUGCAGGCCUGAGAGCUUUGGGGGCUGUGCAGGCAGCAGUGCAGGGAUUAAGGUCACAUGAGUGUGCAUGGGUGUAUAUAUGUGUAUGUGCAUGUAUCUGUGCAGGAGUACAUGCACACAUGCACAAAUGUGUAUGUGAAUGUGCUUGUAUGUGUGCAUGUAUCUGUGCAGGUGUUAAGUAUGUGCCUGCGUGUAGAUGUGUAUCUGUACGUCUGCAUGUGUGUGUGUGCAUG